UACGAAGGGGGCGAGCGUUGUUCGGAUUUACUGGGCGUAAAGGGCGCGUAGGCGGCCUCUGCAAGUCGACUGUGAAAUCUCCGGGCUUAACCCGGAAAGGUCAGCCGAUACUGCAGGGCUAGAGUGCAGAAGGGGCAACUGGAAUUCUCGGUGUAGCGGUGAAAUGCGUAGAUAUCGAGAGGAACACCUGCGGCGAAGGCGGGUUGCUGGGCUGACACUGACGCUGAGGCGCGAAAGCUAGGGGAGCGAACGGG
rnacentral:rRNA from 1 species